AUAACAUCAGAUUAUUCUUAUCUCGUCAGAUUAUGAAUUUUUCUGUCAAAUUGAAUGUUUUAUGAAUAUUAUAAUAACAAAUUACCAUGAUUGUUUUCACCUAAAUGAACAUAACUGCUUCAAAUUUUGUGUUUCAAUUAUUUUACUCGUUAAUUGAAAAACCCUAUAGGAAAAUCGGCAAAUUACACUUCCGGUUUCUCACGUCAUAGUUCUCAGUCGCUAAUGAGACAUUUAUGUAUGCAAAUUGUUGUUUGUUUCUACUUUUUGUUAUUAUUGUCUACCACUUUUAUGUUGAUGGUUGUAUUAUUCUAUGUGUACUAUUCUUGAUAUUUAAGCAUUAAUAAAAAAUAAAUAAAAUGUAUGUAUACAAAUCUAUGGUAGAAACAUCGAUGUAUUUAUUUAUUGAUUUAUUUUUAAUGUGUAAUCUAAGUUUCAAGUUUAAUUUACUUAUAUAGCACCAUUAAAACAGCGGCAGCUUACCAAUGUGCUUUACAGCAUCAGAUAAAAUACUCAGAUUUGAUCUAAAGUCGGAAGAUUAGUUAGAUUAGAUUAUAUUUAAUUUAGGAAAAACGCAAAGAUGAUAGCAAACCUCAGAACCUUUAUUUGUUUUAACCAGGAUAGUCAAAUAUUUAAUAGUUUAUGUGUUGAGAUUGUUGGAUCUGUGCGCAUUAAAAUGACUCCUCCUUCACACACACACACACACGCGCACACACACACGCACACACACAGAGAGAGAGAGAGUCAGUGAACUCCGCGAGCGUCUCUCGCGCUGUGGAUCGUCAGUCUCGCGCUCGGCGCGUGUGGAGAAGCAGCUGCGCCGCAUGCCUCCUCGAGGAGCGAUGUGAUUGACUCCUGCUCUUCUUUAGGAGAAACCGACGCUUCGAGACAGCAGGAGAACCGAGCCGAUCGGAACAGUUCCAGUGCGCGCGCGACACGCGCCGGACGCGGAGCGAUGGAUUCGUCAGCUCGGCGCUCGCGAGGAAACACAGGCUUUCAUAAAAGGGUUUUUCAUGCAGCGGUGGAGAAAGUACAGCUGGAAGACUCAGAAGUUGUUUUUAUCCUCUGCCUCACCAGCAGUAGAGGUGAAGGUGCUUCACUCCAGAGAAAACUUCUGAAGUGCUCAAGUAAAAACUAAUAAGGUUGUGCUUGAACAUUAGGGUCAGGUUUUUAUUAGAGGUGCUUGUACUUAGUGUUAGAGAUUUGAAUAAACCCUUAACCCAAAGUAUUCA
ensembl:lncRNA